GACGAACGCUGGCGGCGUGCUAAACACAUGCAAGUCGAACGGAAAGGCUCCAGCUUGCUGGAGUACUCGAGUGGCGAACGGGUGAGUAACACGUGGGUGAUCUGCCCUGCACUUCGGGAUAAGCCUGGGAAACUGGGUCUAAUACCGGAUAGGACCGCACUUUGGUGUGUGUGGUGGAAAGGUUUUUCUGGUGUGGGAUGAGCUCGCGGCCUAUCAGUUUGUUGGUGGGGUAAUGGCCUACCAAGACGGCGACGGGUAGCCGGCCUGAGAGGGUGGACGGUCACAUUGGGACUGAGAUACGGCCCAGACUCCUACGGGAGGCAGCAGUGGGGAAUAUUGCACAAUGGGGGAAACCCUGAUGCAGCGACGCCGCGUGGGGGAUGAAGGCCUUCGGGUUGUAAACUCCUUUCGCUAGGGACGAAGCUUUUUGUGACGGUACCUGGAGAAGAAGCACCGGCUAACUACGUG
rnacentral:rRNA from 1 species